rnacentral:ncRNA from 1 species
GACAAUAAAAACUUAAUAUGCUUUGAGCAGAAGGAAAACCAGUGUGAAUCUGGUACUGUACCGCAACUGUAAUGUGAGCCUGGCAGCGCAUAUCCUCACAAGAUGCUGUCCCGGUGAUGAGCUUAGUCAGAGUGCCUAUGCCCAAAAGUUUUU